rnacentral:tRNA from 1 species
GGAGGUAUAGCCAAAUGGUAAGGCGAGGGUCUGCAGAACCCUGAUUUCUGGUUCAAAUCCGGAUACCUCCU